GGGUCAGUAGGUUGGUCGUGCCACCGGUACGUACUGGUCUCACUGUUUCCUCCUUCCUGAAGAGCCGUAAUGCCAUUAAUAUGGUGUUGCGGGGAAACAGGACUGUUACUUUGAAAAAAUUAGAGUGUUUAAAGCAAGCUAACGCUUGAAUACAUUAGCAUGGAAUAAUGAAAUAGGACGAUCGAUCCUAUUUUGUUGGUUUCUAGGAUUGACGUA
rnacentral:rRNA from 1 species